ensembl:snRNA U6 U6 spliceosomal RNA
GUGCUCACUUCAGCAGCACAUAUACUAAAACUGGAAUGAUACAGAGAAGAUCAGCACGGCCCCUGCACAAGGAUGACUCACAAAUUCAUGAAGCGUUCCAUAUUUUU